rnacentral:rRNA from 1 species
UGGGGAAUAUUGGGCAAUGGGGGGAACCCUGACCCAGCAACGCCGCGUGAAGGAAGAAGGUUUUCGGAUUGUAAACUUCUGUCCUUGGUGAAGAGGAAGAGACGGUAGCCAAGGAGGAAGCCCCGGCUAACUACGUGCCAGCAGCCGCGGUAAUACGUAGGGGGCGAGCGUUGUCCGGAAUGACUGGGCGUAAAGGGCGCGUAGGUGGCCUCACAAGUCUGGAGUGAAAGUCCCGUUUUUAAGGUGGGAAUGGCUUUGGAAACUGUGGGGCUUGAGUGUGGGAGAGGAUAGCGGAAUUCCCGGUGUAGCGGUGAAAUGCGUAGAGAUCGGGAGGAACACCAGUGGCGAAGGCGGCUAUCUGGACCAAGACUGACACUGAAGCGCGAAAGCGUGGGUAGCAAACAGG